rnacentral:rRNA from 1 species
GACGUAGGGCGCGAGCGUUGUCCGGAUUUAUUGGGCGUAAAGAGCUCGUAGGCGGCUUGUCGCGUCGUCCGUGAAAACCUGCAGCUCAACUGCAGGCUUGCGGUCGAUACGGGCGGGCUGGAGUUCGGUAGGGGAGACUGGAAUUCCUGGUGUAGCGGUGAAAUGCGCAGAUAUCAGGAGGAACACCGGUGGCGAAGGCGGCUUGCUGGGCCUUACCUGACGCUGGAGGAGCGAAAGCGUGGGGAGCGAACAGG